GACGAACGCUGGCGGCGUGCUUAACACAUGCAAGUCGAACGGAAAGGCCUUUUCGGAGGUACUCGCGUGGCGAACUGGUGGGUAACACGUUGGUGAUCUGCCCUGCACUCUGGGAUAAGCCUUGGCAACUGGGUCUAAUACCUGAUAGGACCGCACUUCACUGUGUGUGGUGGAAAGUUUUUUCGGGGUCGGAUGAGCCCGCGGCCUAUCAUCUUGUUGGUGGGGUAAUGGCCUACCAAGGCGGCGACGGGUAGCCGGACUGAGAGGUUGGUCGGCCACAUUGGGACUGAGAUACGGCCCAGACUCCUACGGGAGGCAGCAGUGGGGAAUAUUGCACAAUGGGCGCAAGCCUGAUGCAGCGACGCCGCGUGGGGGAUGACGGCCUUCGGGUUGUAAACUCCUUUCGCCAGGGACGAAGCGUUUUGUGACGGUACCUGGAGAAGAAGCACCGGCUAACUACGUG
rnacentral:rRNA from 1 species